UUUGAAUGCAACUAUAAGUUUCCGCGCCUCAUUUUGAUUGUCCGUCUUAUUUAAAUUUUUUUUAUAAUUACUAUUUUUAUUAUUAUGAAAUAAAAAAACAUGAAUAGUAGUUUAUAUGUAACUUAUGUUUUUAAAUUUUUUUAAAAAAAUUUCAAAUAAGACAGACGGUCAAAGUUGUGCACGGAAAAUGAUGGCUGCACUUAAA
rfam:Oryza nivara chromosome 11, whole genome shotgun sequence.